rnacentral:lncRNA from 1 species
AGAGUGACAUUGGCAUCAAUUAGGGGGGGAAUCACCUACCCCACAGUAAGGGCAGUGAAAAUGAACACCAGCAGGAAGACAUAACGUGAAAUUAAUUAAAAGGGGGGCAAAAGACAGCUAGUAAAUUGUGGUUUCAGAAUAGUUUCUAGGAAAAAUAAGCAAACUAUUUUACCUAAAAUUCGCAUUGAUCUUUACUGUUUGGCUUAAUGGACUCCACUAACAAUGACAGUUUAAAGGAUGAUAAAGUAUCACGUUGCUUCAAUUAAAUAGAUAAUUAUGAGGGGAAGUUUUUGAAUCUGGUGUUUGAUGGUUUUAUCUUUCAAUCACAUCAGUAGCAUAUUCACAGUCCCAGUGAUACUUUUAAACUGUUCAGAAUUCUGUACAAGAUGAUGACACACAGGCGGGAUUUUUCUCUAUGGCUUUCUUCAACCACAGGACGUCAGUGCCUGCACUGAAUUUUCAUUCUGCCAUUGCUUUUCAUUUGUAAGUGUCAGUUUAAAAACGCAUUUCAUGUUUCCUCUCAAUAGUAAUCUCAUUUUAUGUCUUUUAUUUAUUUUCUUCCCUUCAACAUAUUAUUGCAUACUAUCUCAUGUAGGCCUAACAUAUUUUGGUGACAAAUACAGCCAGAUACAAAAAUAGAAGGAAAAAAAAACUUUAUAUUUGUUGAGGUAUUUUCAAUUACUAUCACUUCUUGACACAAAACCAUGAAGAACAUUAGGCAGGAAUUAUUGUCCCUGUUUUAUAAACGAAUAUGCAGAUGCUGAAAGAAGUGAUAUAUCCUACACAAAGAGACACUGUUAAAUUUUGCUACAUUUUAACACAAAAUGUUAGUGGAAUCCAUACAACUUAGAGCCUAAAUUUUAUCAAAGGCCACUCACAGAACUUUACUGGUCUUCUAUCUAGUUAUGGCCUGCUUUUGUGUCUCAGAUGUACACAUGAAAAGCCCAAACUUCCCUUUACAUUACCUUGUAUUAGUAACUACAUUGAUUUAAUAUGGGCAACCAGGUCAAGUGAAUAUUUGGUUUCAUGGACAAACUCUUAUUUGCAGAAGACAGAAUUGCUGACCCCUAAACAAAUGUUUGUGUAUGUGUGUGUGUGUGUAUGUGUGUGUGUGAAUAUACACACACACUCAUAUUAAAAAUAUAUGAAUAUGCACUUUAACACAAACAUGCACAUACAUAUACGAAAAUAUUUGUUGCUGGAUUUUUUCAAAAUGUACCUGCAGAGAAAACUUUAAGAAUUUGUUUCAUUAGUGCAGGACAGUUUUAUACUGUAACAACAUAACAACUCUGAUUAUCUUCCUCUCUCUCUCUAUCUCUCUCUUUCUCUCUCUUGGUAUCUUGGCAUAAUUAAAGUUCAAUUGUGAGAAAUUUCCCUGAUAAUUUCUGACUUAUCAAAAUUCAUCCAAAAUAUAAUUCUCACACAUUAAUACUGUCAGUACUCUCUGAUUGGAGAAGUCAUUUCUAAUAGACCAAAGGAAAUCUGUUUCCUUGGAGAAUUUGAAAAGGCCAUGGUAAAAUUUGGAAAGAAAUGUAAUACAUGAAAUUUUCAUCAUACUAUUUAUAUUUCCUUUCCUGUAACAUGUCCUUUUUAGAAGUAGUAUAUGUAUUCUAGAUACACCAUAAAAUUCCUAGCAUCUAUUGCUGAAUUAAAUCAAAGCCAAAUGACCAUAUGGUUAAAUUAUUCACCAUGGAAUACUGCUUUUUAAAAUUCUUUUUACUUCAGCUACAGCAGUCCCCAGCUAAUCCUGAUGCAUUAAGAAUGUCUGACACAUUAGCAUAUUUUAUAAUUGAGCUGAGAAAUGAUGUUACUAUUAAUUUAUUUUUGAAAUAUUAACUUGCUUUUAAAGUAACUAUAAUGAAUAAAUGUCAGAAAUAUUUAUGACAACACAUUGUUAUAUCAGGUAUGCCCUUGAAAUUCCAAGCUACAUUAACAUGAAGAUUACUGUGCCUUUGAAGAAAGUUCUCAUUGUAUCCAGGGAAAAUAUGGUUUGAAUUAUGCUAUGGAGAAGUCCAAUAUGAGUAAAUGAAGAAUGACACAGACUCAAAAUAAUUAGCUACUAUUAUAUUAGUAAGAAUAAGUUAGAAGAACGGGUAAAUAUUGAAGUUUAUAUUGAUAUUGAUUUUCUAAGAAAAUUAGUACCCUUCUAUUAUAUAGAAUGAUGCUUAGCAUUUAAUUUGCACUGCAACUUUUGUGCUGUCUUAAUUUCAUAUCAUCUUGUUUUUCUAGAAAAUUUCAAAUUAUUCAUGGUAAGAACAUGAGCUACAUUCUACACAUUCCCCAUAGCAUCUCUGUUUAUUAAAUACUUAACACAAAAUUCUCUUUUAGAUCAAUCACUUAA